CCUACGGGAGGCAGCAGUGAGGAAUAUUGGUCAAUGGGCGGAAGCCUGAACCAGCCAAGUAGCGUGCAGGAUGACGGCCCUACGGGUUGUAAACUGCUUUUAUCCGGGAAUAAAGCCACUUACGUGUAGGUCUUUGCGUGUACCGUAUGAAUAAGCACCGGCUAAUUCCGUGCCAGCAGCCGCGGUAAUACGGAGGGUCCGGGCGUUAUCCGGAUUUAUUGGGUUUAAAGGGAGCGUAGGCCGCAUGUCAAGCGAACUGUGAAAUGUCCGGGCUCAACCCGGGCCUUGCAGUGGAAACUGGCGUGCUUGAGUCGGCGGAAGGCAGGCGGAAUGCGUAGUGUAGCGGUGAAAUGCUUAGAUAUGGCGAAGAACCCCGAUUGCGAAGGCAGCUUGCUGGAGCGGAACUGACGCUGAUGCUCGAAAGCGUGGGUAUCGAACAGGAUUAGAUACCCCUGUAGUC
rnacentral:rRNA from 1 species